rnacentral:rRNA from 1 species
UACGGAGGGUGCAAGCGUUGUUCGGAAUCACUGGGCGUAAAGGGCGUGUAGGCGGUCCGCUAAGUCUGAUGUGAAAGCCCGGGGCUCACCCCCGGAAGGGCAUUGGAAACUGGCGGACUCGAGUCCCGGAGAGGAAGGUGGAAUUCCUGGUGUAGCGGUGAAAUGCGUAGAUAUCAGGAGGAAUACCGGUGGCGAAGGCGGCCUUCUGGACGGCGACUGACGCUGAGACGCGAAAGCGUGGGGAGCAAACAGG